UCCAUACAGCUGUUGCUUUGAGCUUGAGAAAACAUUCUUGGAUUAUAACAUGAAGAAAAUGGUUACCAAGGAUUAAUAUUUUUAAAAAAGAUGGCGUUGAAGAGCUGCCUCAGAGAUUUUCACAUUCAGAUAACACAAGACACUAAGGAGUUGUCACAGGGAGCUCAGUACUGCAGGAAGCAUUGGUCGACUCUCCUGCCCCCGGGGACUAUCAGGAUCUAACAGCCCGUGAGCUGACGGAGGCCGCAGCAGCCAGCGUCCAGUCCAGAAGAGUAACAUACCUCAUGUGGCAAAAUCAGACAGGCCUUUCAUCCAUGACCCUGUAAACGUUGUUAGCUUUACCUGCGCCUUUAGUCUACACUAAAUUAUAAUAACAAUUUACUCUGCUAACGUUUUGUUAGAUGAUGAAGAUCGAUUUGACAUCAAAUCAACCCCAACAUAUCAGAAUGUUUGCUCUUGGUAUUUGUGGAAAUUAAUUCCCGAUGAUAUUAUUGUUGAAUCAGUGUUUUUAUUUUUAUUU